CCUUCCUGCUGGGAGUGGCAGUGGGGUCUUGUGACUAGCACUUCCUGCCUGCCGGGUGGGACUUGCUUCUGGGUGUUGGAGGAGGAAGGAGCUUGUCAGCCCAGUCUGGUGUGGUGGCCCUCUUUCUUGGGUCAGCCUGAAGAUUCAAGUCCAAUCUCUUCUGAAGCUUUUGGGCCACUGAAGCCACUGACUACAUUGGACCAAUGAGGCAACAUAUAGUUAGAGUACCAGGCCUAGAGACAAUAAAAACAGAAUCAUUCAAAUAUAUCCUCAGACCUUUACUAGCUGUGACCCAAGAGAAAGAAACUGAGGUACAAUCUGAUGAUGAAAUUAGAAGACCAACUCCAAAAAGAUAAAUUACAUAUGGUCUCAGAGUGAAGGCACCAGGAUUAAGGAAGACAGAAGAAAGACUUCUUGCAGAAGAUGGGGCUUUAGCUGAGACUUAAUGGAAGACAAUGAAGCCAGUGGAUGAGGUGAAGAGAGACAGAAUUUCAGUUAUUGUGCAUAGCCCAUAAAAAUGUCAAGAUUCAGAAGGUAGUCUCAAGGAACCACAAAGGGAUUAGUGUCACUGCACUGGAGAACUCUUGGAUGUGAAGGGAUGGAGGAUCAGGAGCCAGGUAAAGUAAUAAGUUUUAAGAAGACUGAAAAGACAUGAACAGGUCAGGUCAUGAUGAACUUUGAACACCGUAGUAUAUUUUUCAUUUUAUCCUGAAGGUAAUACGGAGACACUAUAGUUUAUUGAAUAAGAGGUGAUAUAGAUUUGUGCUUUAGGAAUACCAACAUAACCUACUAAUAAGGAAUGAAUUGGAAUAGGGAUAGACUUGAGGCAGAGAGACCUACCAACAGGUUAUUUGCAAAGAUUCAGAUAGAGUUGUUUGUAGUAACAGAGCAAAGAAGCCAUAUACAAAAGAUGUUGGAGGAGAAGCAAAUAUUUAUUAAGUAACUACUAAGUACCAGGAGGGAAGCUAUGUGGCAUUUGAAGAUAGAAUGUCAGAGAGGGAGUCAGAAAAACUUGUGUUCAAAUCUAGCCUCAGGUAACACUAGGUGGGUUGUGGGUGUGGUGACCCUGGGCAAGUCACUUAAUACUUCCUCAGUUUCCUCAAUGAGCUGGAGAAGAAAAUGGAAAAGUAUUCCAGUAUCCUUGCUAAGAAAACCCCAAAAGAGCUCAUGAAGAGUCAGCUAUCACUGAAAAUGACUUAAAAAAAUGUAACAAAACCUACAGUAAGCACUUCUCAAAUAUUUCAUUUGAUCUUCACAACAACCCUAAUGUUUAGGUAUUAUUAUUAUACUCUCUUUUUGGUUAUUGAAAGUGAGACUAUUGAGAUUGUGACUUGCCCAGAGUCACUAGUAAAAGUCUGGGAAAGAUAUGAACUCAGGACUUCUGGAUACCAGACUUAGCUUUCUAUCCAGGAUGCCACCAAACUGGCCCUAGAAUCCACUGGCUAUCAAAAAUAGAUUGUACAUGGGAGUGAGAGAGAGAAAAGAGUCAAUGAUAAAAACAAAGUACAAACCCAGUGAUGUGAGAUGGUAGAACCCUCAACAAUAAUAGGAAAAUUAGAGAGAAAUGAGAAUUUGAUGGAGAGAAAGAUAAUUAAAUCAUUUCUGAAUAUAUUAAGUUAAGGAUGUCAGAUAUUUAUCCAGUUUGAGGAAGUCAUCAGAUGUCAAAUUAUGUAUUAUUAUUUCAUUGUAAAAUACUCAAUAUAAAUUUAAUACCAGAUUAGAAUGUGGAUUUCACCCUCAUUCAGGGAAACCUAUUAAUGUGAUAGAUGAAUGGAUAAAUAGUGAUAGAUAGAUAGAUA